CCGCUCGAUUAGCUGGUUGGCGGGGUAACGGCCCACCAAGGCGACGAUCAGUAGCCGACCUGAGAGGGUGGCCGGCCACAUUGGGACUGAGACACGGCCCAAACUCCUACGGAAGGCAGCAG
rnacentral:rRNA from 1 species